UCCGGCGGUUAUAGCGGUGGGGAAACACCUCUUCCCAUCCCGAACAGAGAAGUUAAGCCCUCCAGCGCCGAUGGUACUGCCCCUUCGGGGGGUGGGAGAGUAGGUCGCUGCCGGAU
rnacentral:rRNA from 1 species